GCAUGGCUGAAUUCUGUUCCAGCCAGUCUGUGGUGGAUACAGUCAGACACCAUGCAAGAGUCUCGUCUCACUUCUGCCAAGUGUUCAGAUGAGUGCUCCGAUCCUCAUCUAACUGCGUAGAAAUGAGUACAAUG
ensembl:snoRNA small nucleolar RNA SNORA15